rnacentral:lncRNA from 1 species
GCACUGUGUCUAUGUCUUGCCACCGGACCCCAGCAGCAGGGGGUCAGGAAAUGACCUGGGCUUGGUUCUAGCCAAAAGGAGAGGUUCAGAAUCCCUUCUAUCCCCUCUAGACCCUUCCAUUCACCAGCCACUUCUUCCUCACUUUGCCCACCAUCUCCACCCUGGAAGCCAAGCCUCAAAACAGACUAUAUCUGGAAACUGCUUACCUUGUGGACAGGAUGUGAAAUAUUUUAAACAUCCUAACGCUACAACAGUGAUCAGUGGUUUUAUUUUAUGUCAACACUGAAGUGUGAGGACCAAAUGUAAAUAGAUUUUUAAUCACAACAUUAUUUCCAGAAUGGCAGGAGAAUUUAAUUUUAGGAUUUGGGAAGAAGGAAUUAUUGUUAAGUAUCUCAGAAGAAUCAAGAUUUGGGAGCAGGAAGUGAAGACUUAUCCAAAUUAAAGAUUGUGCUAAUUUAUUACAACCAUGUAUACUGAAAACAAGCAUGUUGGGGUGGGGAAGAAAGACCUGAUCUUGUCACAGGAGUAGUGCUGGUGAGGAGAGGACAACAGACCUAGUGAUGUUUCUUUCACCCUCCCCAAUUCCCACCACCUAGAAAAUGAAGACUGACAACUAUUA